rnacentral:lncRNA from 1 species
CAAGACUCAGGGGGGAUCUUACCAAUGUGUAUGAAUGCCUGAUGGAGGGUGGGGAGUAAAGCAGACAGAGCCAGACUGUUGUCAGUGGUGCCCAGUGACAGGACAAGAGGCGACAGGCACCAACUGAAAAACAGGAAAUUCAGGUUAAACAUAAGAAACAACUUUUUCGCUGUGAGGGUGGUUGAACACAGGAACAGGUUGCCCAGAGAGGUUGUGGAGUCUUCAUCCUUGGAGAUAUUCAAAGCCUACUGGAUAUGGCCCUGAGUAACCUGCUGUAGCUGACCCUGGUUUGAGCAGGGAGUUGAACUAGACUUCAGAGGUGCCUUCCAACCUCAGCCAUUCUGUGAGUUUGCUGGCCCAUUAUCCUGUUGUUGCUGCAGAACAGAAAGAGACAAGAUACAGUUUCUAUUUCUGUGUUCUUAAAAGCACCUGCUCUUCAAAGAGCAUGGAAGCAAAGUUUGUUCUCCUGUGCUGGUGCUGGAUGAUGGACUAAAAUUCAACUUGUUGGAAGUUGACAGAUCACUGUGAAACAUGCAGAGAAGAGGCAAUUCUUUUCCAGAAGUGACCUUCUGGACAGAAUUGUGCUCUGAGUCAUAAUUUGACAUGGCAAAGCAUCUGAUACUGCCUUUGUGGAAGUUCAAAUAGCAGCAGUGGUAUGAAACAGCUUUGUCUUGGAGAAACAUGUGGCGCAUUCAUAUGCAAAUAAGUACACCCUGUGCUUCAGCAAGUGCCAGGAUGAGGCCAGAAGUGUGCCAAAAAAUUUCAGAAAUGUGGAAAAACAUCAUUCUCUGGACAGAAUAUUGAACAGGAUGAACAAGUGACGGUAACAAAUACGUCGAUAAGCUSAUCAUGUUGCACAUUAGAUGAUGAAGAUAUUUCUGUCCCUUGACAUCUCAUGUUCUCACAACAAAUGAUUAUACAUCAAAGAAAUGAGCUCUGAGUCAAAAUGACAGUAAAGAUGAUGAGCUAGAAAAUAAUGGAAGAGCUGGUACCUAUGAAAUUACUGCAAAUGACUGAAGGAAUGGGGUAAAGGAAAUUGCUCAGAAAGUUGUUCAGAUGACUUAAACUGCUGUCUGAAAAAUAAAUAAUCUAGGGUAUGACUUCUAGAAAUGAAA